CAAAUUAGUAAUUACAAUAAUUCUAGGGAAUAUCCUGUGGAUAAUGCCUACAAAAUCCAUAAAAUAAAGAUCACCCCAAAACAUAAAACAAAUAAAUAAAACAAAUAGAAAAAUAGAAAUAAAACUACCUAAUUUCUUUUCCUUUUUCUUCCUUUUGUUUUUUUUCCUUUUCCUGCUUUCUUCACCUACGGUCGAGCGGCUUCGGUGGGUCACCGGAGGUUGGGUCUUCGGCGUUCAGAGCUCCGGCAAGGGCGGCAGCAGGCACAGCUGGUCACGGGUCAGGCGAGACAGGGGCGGCACGGGCGAAGGAGACAGCCGGCGUCGGGGUACGUUGGAGCAGCAACGUGGGCAGCCGGCGUCGGAGUAUUGGCGCGGACUGGGCGGCAGCAGCAACAAGGAGGCGCGGCGUCGGUGGCCGGCGAACAGCGGGGUUGCGGGUCGCAGCGGUGUUGUCCCACGGGUGUGUAGCGGCUCGGCGUUCAGUUCCGGCGUCGUGGGUCAGCAAGCAGAGCAGCAACGGCGACGGGGCACGGGCUGAGGCGCGGCGGCGGAGCUGCGGACGUCGUAGCUGAGGUCACCGGAGAGGGGUUUCGAAUGGAGGCUAGCAGACGCGGCGACAGCGCUGGGUCACGGGCUACUGGCUGCUGGGCGGCGACAGCAAGGCGGUGCUUGGGCUUCUAGUUGCAGGCGAGGCAGAUCCGGCGGUAGUAGCAGCGUCGCAGGGGCUCACAGGCGGGGCACAGCGAUGCUGGUGCGGCGGUAGCGACCGGAGACUCGGGAUCUGCAGGUGGGUCGCUCGGGCGUGAGGCGGAAACAGGGCUGCUUGGGCGCGGUGACAGGUAGCGAUCGGCAAGGUCAGGAGCGGCGGGCUUCGUCGGAGCUCCGGCGUCGGGGUACGUUGGACAGCAACGUGGGCAGCAAGUUGGGAAGACGAUGAACAGUAGGAGUCAAAUCACCUUUUUACUUUUACCUUUUCCCCUCUCUCUCUCUCUUUCUCUCUCUCUCUCACUCUCCUGCUGACCUUUUUUUGUUUUCUUUUUUUUCGACCCAAGAGAAGCCGUGAACCUACGGUUUGCUCUCCCCCCCCCUCCCCCUCUCUACGGUUUGCUCUCUUUUAUAGGCCAAGACAAAAUGCAAGCAGAGCAGCAACGGCGACGGGGCACGGGCUGAGGCGCGGCGGCGGAGCUGCGGACGUCGUAGCUGAGGUCACCGGAGAGGGGUUUCGAAUGGAGGCUAGCAGACGCGGCGACAGCGCUGGGUCACGGGCUACUGGCUGCUGGGCGGCGACAGCAAGGCGGUGCUUGGGCUUCUAGUUGCAGGCGAGGCAGAUCCGGCGGUAGUAGCAGCGUCGCAGGGGCUCACAGGCGGGGCACAGCGAUGCUGGUGCGGCGGUAGCGACCGGAGACUCGGGAUCUGCAGGUGGGUCGCUCGGGCGUGAGGCGGAACAGGGCUGCUUGGGCGCGGUGACAGGUAGCGAUCGGCAAGGUCAGGAGCGGCGGGCUUCGUCGGAGCUCCGGCGUCGGGGUACGUUGGACAGCAACGUGGGCAGCAAGUUGGGAAGACGAUGAACAGUAGGAGUCAAAUCACCUUUUUACUUUUACCUUUUCCCCUCUCUCUCUCUC
rnacentral:lncRNA from 1 species